rnacentral:rRNA from 1 species
AUGUUAGAACACAACCUCUGUAUCAUCAACUGGAACGUCAGGGGGCUGAAUUGUCCAAAUAGAAGAGCCACUGUUCAUGAGACCAUUGCAUCCUCCUCCUGUAACAUCGUUUGCCUUCAAGAGUCGAAGCUAGAAUCGCUUGAUUGCUUCACAGCAUCCUUCCUUGGAGGCUCCAAAGUGCAAAGUUUUGCUUUCCGGCCUGCCAUAGGUACUCAAGGGGGUAUUGUGUUGCUGUGGGAUGAUUCCUUCAUCACAGCGUCCAACAUUGUCCUGGGGGAGUUUCAUUUGUCUGCCACCAUUAAGAUUAUCAACUCGGAUGUGGAGUUCUUGCUCACAAGCGUGUAUGGCCCCUCAGCCAACAACAGGAAGGACAAUUUCUUUGCCAAGAUGGUCGCGCUUAAGCUGGCUCCAAAUGUCAAAUGGCUUGUCACUAGAGAUUUAAACCAGAUUUACCGGGCAUGCGACAAGAACAAGUGGAAUGCUAAUAUCUCGUGCAUCAACCGUUUUAGAGCCGCUCUAAAUUCUUGUGAGCUAAAAGAAAUCCGCCUCCAGAAUAGAAAGUUCACUUGGAGCAAUGAGAGGAUUGAUCCAACUCUUUACAAACUCGAUAGCUUCUUCUGCAACUUAGAUUGGGACCUGCUCUUUGAUAGUCACAUCCUAACCGCGCUCUCUUCCUCCCUCUCAAAUCAUUGCCCGCUGCUCCUCUCUAGUGACCGAGGACCCAAACGACCGAGGAUUUUUCGUUUCGAGAAUUUUUGGACCAAGUUGCCCGGUUUUCAACAGGUGGUCGCCGACUGCUGGGGAAAGCCUUCUGUGCACAAUGAGCCAUGUCAAAAGCUGCAUGACAAGCUCCGUCGAACGGGUCUCCACCUCUGACGAUGGAGUAACACCUUAUUUUCCACCGCUAAGAUUCAACUACACAUGGCUCUUGAGGUCAUUCUC